UAAGGACAUGAUGGUAUGCUACCCACCCUUCUAAAUGGUAUCUGACACCUGGCCUUUUCUUACCAAUGUUUUGAUAUCUAGUGCUUCUUUAACUAUGAUAUAUCUUAUGAUCAAAGUUAUGGUUUCCAACAGCAGUCUGAAGAGGAGAUGUUCAUGGCGUCUUUGAUCUGCAAUUUGGAAGUUGAUUGUGGGAAGCUUGUAGUCUGCAAAUCUGAUCUUGAUUGUAUAAAGACCCUGCAUUUUGAUACACAGAGGUCAACCCUAGUUUUGGAAAAUCUUACAGUUGGCCCCAAGAAUUUGCAUUGAAUGGUUGCACCAAUGAUGCUUCAGCAACAUACUUCCUGGGGAAAUCUCCAUUUCCAGCUUUGGAUGCAUUUGUAGAAUUUGUUGCUACAUUUGGAAAUGUCUCAGGUAAAAUUCGCAGCUGGUAUUGGUUCUCAGAGUUUGGACUUAUGGUCUACAGCAUGUCAAGAAACAGAUACUGUGAGCGAAUUGGCAGACAGCACAAAAGCAAUCAUGAGUGGCAAUCCAUUCCUUGAUGCAAAUGUUGUUCCGAUCAACCAACCUUGAUGUAAGGCUAGUUUUUGCUUUGAAGGAAAGUAUGGUGUAUGUAGAACUGAUGUAGUUGGUUGCUAAUAUGUUUAUGGGCUAGCCUUUGGAGGUUUUGGGUUUUAUUUUGUGAAUUAUGUAGAAUCAUGAAUGAAGAUGAGAAAAUUAAUGGAAAGCUCCGAUUUUUGGAUGAUGAGAAA